rnacentral:misc_RNA from 1 species
UUUCCGUAGGUGAACCUGCGGAAGGAUCAUUAAAGUGUUUAAUGGCCACGCCUGUGCGUGGCUUUGGGUCUUGUGCCCAUCACUCGUCCUUACACCUGUGAACCGUCUGUCGAGCCCCGUCUGCCUCACGGCAGGGGAGGCUUGUGCACUCUACCAAACUUCACUCUGUAAAAAAUGUCAACUUAUCAUAAACAAAUAAAACUUUUAACAACGGAUCUCUUGGCUCUCGCAUCGAUGAAGAACGCAGC